rnacentral:rRNA from 1 species
UACGUAGGCAGCGAGCGUUGUUCGGAGUUACUGGGCGUAAAGAGUGCGUAGGCGGUUUUCUAAGUUUGGUGUGAAAUCUCCCGGCUUAACUGGGAGGGUGCGCCGAAAACUGGAAGGCUUGAGUAUGGGAGAGGUAAGCGGAAUUCCUGGUGUAGCGGUGAAAUGCGUAGAUAUCAGGAGGAACACCUGCGGUGUAGACGGCUUACUGGACCAUAACUGACGCUGAGGCACGAAAGCGUGGGUAGCAAACGGG